UGAACGCUGGCGGCGUGCUUAACACAUGCAAGUCGAGCGGCAGCGCGGGAGCAAUCCUGGCGGCGAGCGGCGAACGGGUGAGUAAUGCUUCGGAAUCUGCCCAGUAGUGGGGAAUAACCAGUCGAAAGACUGGCUAAUACCGCAUACGACCUAUGGGUGAAAGCAGGGGACCGCAAGGCCUUGCGCUAUUGGAUGAGCCGAAGUCGGAUUAGCUAGUUGGUGAGGUAACGGCUCACCAAGGCGACGAUCCGUAGCUGGUCUGAGAGGACGACCAGCCACACUGGGACUGAGACACGGCCCAGACUCCUACGGGAGGCAGCAGUGGGGAAUAUUGGACAAUGGGGGCAACCCUGAUCCAGCGACGCCGCGUGUGUGAAGAAGGCCUGCGGGUUGUAAAGCACUUUUAGUGGGGAGGAAACCCCCGGACCUAACACGUCGGGAAUUGACUUAACCCAAGAAAACGCACCGGCUAACUCUGCGCCAGCAG
rnacentral:rRNA from 1 species